GCCGUCAGGCGAGCGGACGGCGCCCCCUGCCGGGCCCGCCGGGCUGGGCCCCGCCGCCUCGUCCCUCCCUCCCGCUGUCCCUUCUCCUCAGCGCCGCAGGACGAAGCCUGUACGAGCCCAUGUACAGCGAAUGUAUUCCCUCAAUGAAGCGGCGGUAAGGCUGGGGCAGCCCUGCGUGCCAGUCCCUAAGGCGGAGGGAAGGGUGCUUCAAAGCUGAGGUGUAGCUGGGCAGGGUGCCUAAGGGAAGGCGGACUCCUCGCGCUGUGGAAAACUGUGGCACUCGAGGCUCACCCUAAUUUUGGGAGUCUGUGAGGCUUCUGAAUUACACGGUCAGUAAUCCAAAGAAGAAUGUAAGCAGGAAAGUCUGUGAUAAGAACAAUAAAAACAGCAUUUGCUCCAAGGAGCAGAACUCAAGCAGACUUCACAAACUACAGGGAGAGAAGAAGGUAAUGUGUGGAUUCAGUUGGGCGCAGGGAUUUUUCUUAAAAUAAUAAUUUAGACAACGAAAGACUAUGUAUGGAGGUAACUAGAGCAAAAUAGAAAACCUAAAGAAAGAAAUGGAAACGUGAUUUAAUAAGGCUCAGCAAACAAAGCAUCUAGGGAUGAUACUGCAAGACAGAUGGUAUCCCGAACAGAUCUGUGCUCUGCAAACUCAGAUGACCCCAUUUCUUGAGAUUACCAUGCAAGAGAUGACCCUGAAAAAGUGAGAAAGUGAGAAAGGACAGGGCUGGAAUGCUGGCAGAGCGAGCCACAGGGACAGAAGACAGACUGUCUGAUCCUAGCUGUCUCUUGUUUGAACACAGAUCUGAAAGAUGAUAAGGACUGAAGACCCGCUUUUCACUGCCCAACAUAUUAUAGAUGUCUGUAUAGUCUUCUUUGCAAAAUAAAUGCAAAGCUUGUUGAGAGCAGCAGCAUUUGUAUUUAGUUGGAUUUUACUCGCUGUUAUCGUAGGAUUGAGCAACCAUGCUGAGAAAUGAAAACAAAAGUUACGUCAGAAGAAAUUACACACAAGGCUUUAUGUUUGCUUACUUAUUUUUAUAUGUGUAAAAGAUAAAAAUAACAUAUAUGUUUAUAUGGUUGUUUGUAUAGGAAAUGUGAGGUUUACAGACCAUUUGUCACUGCUGCAGCCACUGGAAUGUGCCAGCAAAUCCGUGGCCCUGUGUCUCCUUACAGCUGGUUUUUGUAUUUGGAGUAUAAACCAUGUUAGCUUCUGAAGGAUUUAUCAGUUUGGAGGACAGCUGUAGAGCGUUUAGGAGAGGACCUAAGGACAACAUAGCUCUAAAAUAAAUAUGUGUUUGGCUACUCCAUCUUCUGACACGUGAGACACUUCUACAGAGAAAAGUCUUCCAAGAGAGGAGACAGAGCCUUCCAGGCAUCUCCUGCAAUUCCUUCCUCACCCUACACCACAGGCUUUGAAGGCUUCUUUCUGUGAAUUCUUGCCUAACAGAAAGAAGAAGAUAAUAUGUGGAUGGAUGAAUGGCUGGAAUAUGUAUGAUUAAAAAAACAUUCAAAAUAUUCCAGCAGACACACCUUUUCCAUGAGAAAAAAGUCACAUGAAAAUUCCAUGAAAAGUCACAUUGCUUAAUAAGCUUCUGGAAGGCUCUUAAAUGCUACAGUUGCUGCAGCUAAUACCACACAGAACAGCAUAGCUGUAGCUUGCAAAUAGACAAAAACCCUAUCGUUCUGUUGACAACUUAUCUUGUUCACACAUGCAGUUAAAAUUAAAUGUAAGAACUGUUUGGUAGUUUUUGGAAGACAGACGAAUAAAAUGUAAGCAAUGUAAAACCUCUGUAGCAAUCAAGACCAGUUCUGAAUGUAAAUUUAUUUUCCAUUUGUGUAUUUAUUCUUUUUACACAACAUAAAUAUGUACAAAACAGUACAUAAGGAAAACCCAAGAAAUCAAGCCUAAAAUGACCUUUUUCCCUUUGUGUUUACAGAGGAAGGGUGACAAAUGCUCAUGAGCUUCCCAUUCAUCAUGUUUCAUAGGAAAAUAGGAGACAGUAGGCAUCUUAAGCUGGUCUGUAUGGAUUCCCACGCAGGGAUCUUCCUCCAAGACUGUCGUGCUUAACAGCUAAGCAAAUUCCAACUGCCCUUCUAAGAAAUACGAGUUUGAUCUGAGGUCACAUUGGUCAUUGGUCACAUCUGAAAGUUUUAAAAUGAAUGUCAAAGUCCGUUGUAUAGUCCAGGAUCGAUUAUGAAGUAUUUAUCUUUAUUUCUUGGAAAGACGUCUGACUUUUGCCCUUUCAUUCUGUACUAGUCACCAUCAUUUCAGCAUUCUGUUUUACAAUUUUCUUAGUUACAGCACAUCCACAGCUGUAAAUAAGCAGCUGUUCCUCAUGUGAUUAUUUCUAGUAGUUGCAUUGUGGUUACCCAUAUGAAUAAGGCUUAUUGUUGUGGUAUACCAUUGCAGGCUACAAAUAUGCAAAAAUUAUAAAGGGACAGGAAACUUUCAAACCCUUUAAAUAAUUUCUUCUGGGUUUGGAUAGGCAUUCUUUUUUGGCUUUGCUUGGAUUUUUGUUUUGUUUCAUGUUGUUUAAAGAUUGCCCUGCAGCUAUUUCAAAAAGUUUAAAACCUGCUACCAUUGAUUUACAUUAAGCCAGUUAAUCACGGGAGAGCAGGCAGUUUCAAAAUCUCCCAAACCUUUAGCCAGUAGAAAUUAGCAAUUAUGCAGUUGUUUUUAUUAGCUGCAUAUUGCAUAAAGAUGUAAGCAUCUGUACUUAUUGUAUUGUAUAGAUUAUUUCAUGGCAGUAUAUGACAUUUAUUUGUGGCAGUGUAACUGCUAUGAUUGUUUUAAGUGACAGCCAGAUGAACUGGCAAGGAAGAAAGUGCAGGAAAGUCAAGUAUUUUUGAGUAUAUAUUUAUACUGGAGAAACAAGCUCCUAAAUACACUACUGCAACGGAUGCUGGACAAGCAUGCACUAUAAAAAAAAUUUCUGUUUUCCUUUUCUUGCCAACAGCACAUAGCAAAAACCGUUUCCUAGUACCAGCAAAGAUCUCUGCUGCAUCAGUUACUCUGCUAUGGAGGCAAGAACUAUGAGCUUUUGGACUCACAUACAGUGUAAACAAUCACCACUUGAUUGCUUUGCUGAAUACAGCUCGUAUCCUGUUACUUACUUCCCAGCUCGUGUCUUGGAACUGAACCUAAACUGACUUUGAAACAAGGAACACUUAUCCAAAUUCUUUGUGUAUGAAGAAGUUACCUACUCAGAUGAAAAAUGUGAGCUAUGCCAAGUUAAGGGAAUGAGCAGGCAAGUCAAUAAUGAGGGAUUUGUAGUCAUAAAGACUACUUCGAAUUACAGUGUCUGCAGGGGACCUUGUCAGUACUCUCAUGUGUUAGGAGGUUAUCAGCCAUCUUCUCUGUGCUGCUCUUAGUUUCAAGUGUGUGGGGAGUCACAAAUACUACCACUGCAAGAACUGUAUUACUGGUUUGUGUAGUAAGGUAUAAUAAUAAAUAUUGUACCUGAACACUGAAGUAUUGAAGUACCAGAAUCAUUCUGCAAUUUUAAUGGAAACAUCUUUGGCAACGUCAAGAAAGACUGAUUACAGAUAAGAAAUCCAGGAGUCAGCACAUGGUCUGGCUUAGCUGGAAAUCUCUACCACUACUGAGCAGAAAAAUCCACUUCUAAAGGCUACAACAACCCUUAUGCUGAUAAUAAAAGAAAGAUGUGUCCCAUGGUACACACUUAAGCAGCUGCUGAUGAUCAUGACAUGGGGCAUCUCUUAAAACUACACAGCAGUUCAGUGAAAGCUGCGGAAGUAAACAAACAUUUUAAAUUGUAGAAGUUUAUUUAAAUAAUAAACUAAAUCAUUUAACAAUCUGAGUAAAUUGGUACAAAACCUUAUGCAUUCAUUUUUACUUUUGUUAAAUGUAGCCUUCAUUACCUCAGUUUAACACAAACUGACUAAACUGAGUUUAGGCAAACCUAAGUAAUCUAAACCACAAUGAGAGUAGCCACUCUGCAUCAAUUUACUAUCAGGUUUCAAAAUCACACAUUUGUUGUACUUCAUUGAAAAAAGAAGAAAAUGAUGUGGCAUUCUGCUCACA